ACUUGAAUGAUGACUUACAAAUCUUUUGUCGGAUACCCCUUCACUCAUAAAUGAGUGAGAUCUUUGUUCUGACAUGC